AUUGAACGCUGGCGGCAGGCCUAACACAUGCAAGUCGAGCGGAUGAAGGGAGCUUGCUCCUGGAUUCAGCGGCGGACGGGUAAGUAAUGCCUAGGAAUCUGCCUGGUAGUGGGGGAUAACGUCCGGAAACGGGCGCUAAUACCGCAUACGUCCUGAGGGAGAAAGUGGGGGAUCUCCGGACCUCACGCUAUCAGAUGAGCCUAGGUCGGAUUAGCUAGUUGGUGGGGUAAAGGCCUACCAAGGCGACGAUCCGUAACUGGUCUGAGAGGAUGAUCAGUCACACUGGAACUGAGACACGGUCCAGACUCCUACGGGAGGCAGCAGUGGGGAAUAUUGGACAAUGGGCGAAAGCCUGAUCCAGCCAUGCCGCGUGUGUGAAGAAGGUCUUCGGAUUGUAAAGCACUUUAAGUUGGGAGGAAGGGCAGUAAGUUAAUACCUUGCUGUUUUGACGUUACCAACAGAAUAAGCACCGGCUAACUUCGUG
rnacentral:rRNA from 1 species